GACGAACGCUGGCGGCGUGCCUAAUACAUGCAAGUCGAGCGGGCCUCCGGAGGUGCUUGCACCUCCGGAAGGCCAGCGGCGGACGGGUGAGUAACACGUGGGCAACCUGCCUUUGAGGCCGGGAUAACACCGGGAAACCGGUGCUAAUACCGGAUACGUCCUCUUUCGCGCCUGCGAGAGGGGAGAAAGACGGUCUUUAAGGCCGUCGGUCAAAGGGGGGCCCGCGGCGCAUUAGCUGGUUGGGGGGGUAAGGGCCUACCAGGGCGACGAGGCGUGGCCGACCUGGGAGGGUGGCCGGCCACACUGGGACUGAGACACGGACCAGACUCCUACGGGAGGCAGCAGUGGGGAAUAUUGCACAAUGGGCGCAAGCCUGAUGCAGCAACGCCGCGUGAGGGAUGACGGCCUUCGGGUUGUAAACCUCUUUUGGCAGGGAAGAAGCGAGAGUGACGGUACCUGCAGAAAAAGCACCGGCUAACUACGUGCCAGCCGCCGCAGUAAAAC
rnacentral:rRNA from 1 species